GUGUGUAUGAGCUUGUAUGCAAAUGUACAGCAGAGUUCAGGGGCAAUCUUUGCCAAGCGGCUUUACUCCGCAUGUUUUAGCUUCGUUACUAUGGCGACAAUCCGGAUACUUAUUGAUCAGACCUCUAUGUAUGU